rnacentral:hammerhead_ribozyme from 1 species
GCACUACUGAGGAGUCCCAUACUAGGACGAAACAACUUUCCAGUAU